AUUGAACGCUGGCGGAAUGCUUUACACAUGCAAGCGAACGGCAGCACGGACUUCGGUCUGGUGGCGAGUGGCGAACGGGUGAGUAACAUAUCGGAACGUAUCCAAUAAUGGGGGAUAACUAAUCGAAAGGUUGGCUAAUACCGCAUACGCCCUACGGGGGAAAGCUAGGGACCUUCGGGCCUGGCGUUAAUGGAGCGGCCGAUAUCUGAUUAGCUAGUUGGUGGGGUAAAGGCCCACCAAGGCGACGAUCAGUAGCUGGUCUGAGAGGACGACCAGCCACACUGGAACUGAGACACGGUCCAGACUCCUACGGGAGGCAGCAGUGGGGAAUUUUGGACAAUGGGCGCAAGCCUGAUCCAGCCAUUCCGCGUGAGUGAAGAAGGCCUUCGGGUUGUAAAGCUCUUUCGCAAGGGAAGAAAACUUAGUCUCUAACAUAGGCUGAGGUUGACGGUACCUUGAUAAGAAGCACCGGCUAACUACGUGCCAGCAGCCGCGGUAAUACGUAGGGUGCGAGCGUUAAUCGGAAUUACUGGGGCGUAAAGCGUGCGCAGGCGGUUUUGUAAGUCAG
rnacentral:rRNA from 1 species